rnacentral:rRNA from 1 species
UACGAAGGGGGCUAGCGUUGUUCGGAAUCACUGGGCGUAAAGGGCGCGUAGGCGGCUUUAUUAGUCGGGGGUGAAAGCCUGUGGCUCAACCACAGAAUUGCCUUCGAUACUGUAGAGCUUGAGACCGGAAGAGGUAAGUGGAACUGCGAGUGUAGAGGUGAAAUUCGUAGAUAUUCGCAAGAACACCAGUGGCGAAGGCGGCUUACUGGUCCGGUUCUGACGCUGAGGCGCGAAAGCGUGGGGAGCAAACAGG